UGUACACACCGCCCGUCACACCACGAGAGUUUGUAACACCCGAAGUCGGUGAGGUAACCUUUUAGGGGCCAGCCGCCUAAGGUGGGAUGGAUGAUUGGGGUGAAGUCGUAACAAGGUAGCCGUAUCGGAAGGUGCGGCUGGAUCACCUCCUUUCU
rnacentral:rRNA from 1 species